AGAGUUUGAUCCUGGCUCAGGAAGAACGCUAGCGGCAGGCUUAAUACAUGCAAGUCGAACGGAAAUUUCGAGCAAUCGAAAACGAGUGGCGAACGGGUGCGUAACACGUAUGCAACUUACCCUUAACUGGGGCAUAGCUCCGAGAAAUCGGAAUUAAUUCCCCAUAAUAUUUUAAACAGGCAUCUGUUUGAUCUUAAAGCUUCGGCGGUUAAGGAUGGGCAUGCGGUUCAUUAGCUAGUUGGUGAUGGUAAAGGCUCACCAAGGCUUCGAUGAAUAGCUGGUCUGAGAGGAUGAUCAGCCACACUGGCACUGAGAUACGGGCCAGACUCCUACGGGAGGCAGCAGUAGGGAAUAUUGGGCAAUGGGCGAAAGCCUGACCCAGCCAUGCCGCGUGCAGGAUUGAAGGCUCUACGAGUUGUAAACUGCUUUUAUUCGGGACGAACACCCUUGAUUCUUCGAGGGCUGACGGUACCGAUUGAAUAAGGACCGGCUAACUCCGUGCCAGCAGCCGCGGUAAUACGGAGGGUCCAAGCGUUAUCCGGAUUUACUGGGUUUAAAGGGUGCGUAGGUGGUCAGAUCAGUCAGUGGUGAAAUCCUACAGCUCAACUGUAGAACUGCCAUUGAAACUUUCUGACUUGAGUAUAGUUGAGGCGGGUGGAAUGUAUCAUGUAGCGGUGAAAUGCUUAGAUAUGAUACAGAACACCGAUUGUGAAGGCAGCUCGCUAAACUAUUACUGACACUGAGGCACGAAAGCGUGGGUAUCGAACAGGAUUAGAUACCCUGGUAG
rnacentral:rRNA from 1 species